rnacentral:ncRNA from 1 species
GGAGUGCCUAGUGAGCGGGAAAAGUUUUCCCCUACAGGCUGAGACCGUUAAUUCGGGAUCCGCGGAACCUGAUCGGGUUAAUACCCGCGAAGGGAACAAGAGUAAUCU